rnacentral:rRNA from 1 species
CCUACGGGUGGCAGCAGUGGGGAAUAUUGGGCAAUGGAGGAAACUCUGACCCAGCAACGCCGCGUGAAGGAUGAAGGUUUUCGGAUUGUAAACUUCUGUCGCGAGGGACGAAGAAUGACGGUACCUCGUAAGAAAGCCCCGGCAAACUACGUGCCAGCAGCCGCGGUAAUACGUAGGGGGCGAGCGUUGUCCGGAAUGACUGGGCGUAAAGGGAGUGUAGGCGGCUCUUUAAGUUAUAUGUGAAAUCCCGCGGCUCAACCGUGGAAGUGCAUAUAAAACUGGGGAGCUGGAGUGCAGGAGAGGUGAGUGGAAUUCCUAGUGUAGCGGUGGAAUGCGUAGAUAUUAGGAAGAACACCGGUGGCGAAGGCGGCUCACUGGACUGUAACUGACGCUGAGGCUCGAAAGCGUGGGGAGCAAACAGGAUUAGAUACCCGUGUAGUC